UACGAACUGUGCGAACGUUAUUCGGAAUCACUGGGCUUAAAGGGUGCGUAGGCGGCUGCUUAAGUCAGGUGUGAAAUCUCCCGGCUCAACCGGGAAACUGCGCUUGAUACUGGGCGGCUCGAGUGAGGUAGGGGUGUGUGGAACUUCCGGUGGAGCGGUGAAAUGUGUAGAUAUCGGAAGGAACGCCAGCAGCGAAAGCGGCACACUGGGCCUUUUCUGACGCUGAGGCACGAAAGCCAGGGGAGCGAACGGG
rnacentral:rRNA from 1 species